rnacentral:rRNA from 1 species
CAUCCACUCUCACAUACCCCUGUGCACUUAUUGUAGGCUUUGGUUGGACGGAGGUUGUACUUGUGUGCACUUCUGAAAGACUUGAGUCUAUGUUUCACACAACAAACGAUUCAGUUAAAGAAUGUCAUUUAGCGUUUAACGCAAAUAUAAAUAUAUGGAAUAAAUAUACAACUUUCAGCAACGGAUCUCUUGGCUCUCGCAUCGAUGAAGAACGCAGCGAAAUGCGAUAAGUAAUGUGAAUUGCAGAAUUCAGUGAAUCAUCGAAUCUUUGAACGCACCUUGCGCUCCCUGGUAUUCCGGGGAGCAUGCCUGUUUGAGUGUCAUGGUACUCUCAACUUCUAUAGCUUUUGUGUUGUAGAAGCUUGGACUUGGAGGUUGUGUUGGCUUUGAACAUAUAUAUAUAUAUUUAAAAGUCAACUCCUCUGAAAUUUAUUAGUGUGAACCUUACGGAUUGCCUUCAGUGUGAUAAUAAUUGUCUACACUGUGGUAUUGAAGUAUAUAUUNGUGCUCACGCUUCUAAUCGUCUGCUUGCAGACAAUAUGAAAUAUUUAACUUGACAAUCUGACCUCAAAUCAGGUAGGACUACCCGCUGAACUUAAGCAUAUCAU